AACUAGCGUAAAUAAAUGUGACGUAUCGCUUGUUCUAAUGUCGUCUUAUUUCUGGUGAUUUAAAAGGUGAAGUGUCUGUUGUGUUAAAGGAGCUUGGAUACAACAGCUCAUCUAUGCUGAGGCAUCAUAGAGGCCUGCAUGAGAACAAGGAGACCAACCAAGCUUCAUCUGCUCCCUGUGAAAGUCUCUAAAGGUGAAACACUCUCAGGAAAAGAACCCGCCUGAAGCCCUGUGGACAACUCUAAGAGAGGACGGUACGACACAGCUGGCAGAGCCAUUGCUGUAAGCUUGGUACAUGGCGCUCCGCCAACAAACCUCCUCUCACC
ensembl:lncRNA